rnacentral:rRNA from 1 species
CCUACGGGGGGCAGCAGUGAGGAAUAUUGGUCAAUGGGCGUAAGCCUGAACCAGCCAAGUCGCGUGAGGGAUGAAGGUUCUAUGGAUCGUACACCUCUUUUAUAAGGGAAUAAAGUGUGGGACGUGUCCUAUUUUGUAUGUACCUUAUGAAUAAGGAUCGGCUAACUCCGUGCCAGCAGCCGCGGUAAUACGGAGGAUCCGAGCGUUAUCCGGAUUUAUUGUGUUUAAAGGGUGCGUAGGCGGCCUUUUAAGUCAGCGGUGAAAGUGUGUGGCUCAACCAUAGAAUUGCCUUUGAAACCGGGGGGCUUGAGUAGGUUUGAGGCAGGGGGAAUGCGUGGUGUAGCGGUGAAAUGCUUAGAUAUGACGCAGAACCCCGAUUGCGAAGGCAGCCUGCCAAGCCAUGACUGACGCUGAUGCACGAAAGCGUGGGGAUCAAACAGGAUUAGAUACCCUUGUAGUC